rnacentral:lncRNA from 1 species
AUAAUUAUAUUAUUGUGGGUUGAAAACCCUAUGUACUCACCAGGUUUCCCAACCUGACCCACUCAGUUUAUUUAUAUCACAGGUGUUGAUAUGAAGUGACAUUACACUGAGAGAUUUAAAGAGAUGUAGAUCACUAGUGUAAAUAAUUGUAAGUUCUGUUUAUGCUUAUGUUUCUGUAUUAACGAUGACAUCCCAAACGUUUUAAAAUGAAAUAAAUACGUUUCUUCGAAAAUGUUUUAAUAACGUAUUUACCAUGUUUUUCUGGGAACAAAUUCCGCAACAUUUUUAUAAAAUGAAGUACUCUGAUUUUUAUAAAGCAUAAACAAAAUCGGUCUUUUCUGGCCGUGAUUUUGGGGAUGUCACAGUUGGUAUCAGAGCAUUAGUUUAAGCGAACUAGGAAUAUGGAUUUAUUUCUAGACUUAAACUUAGAAUGCUAAGCGAUGAUUGUGAGGUGUGAGCACUAGCUUAUUUUAGGAAUUGUGCCUAAAAUGCUUUUAUGUGCUAAAUACUUGUGCCUGAUAUGCUGUUAGUUGUUCGGAUCUAUGGUCUGUUGCCGACCGGAUCUGGAAACCUUAUGUGUUUAGGAUUCUAAACGUACGACUACGAUAUUAGAACUAGCAUAUAAACGUUUCGGAGUGAUAAGGAUGAUUUAACCGUCAAUCCUAAGUAAAGGUCUAGAUUCACCUUAUUCGGUGUAUAGAUCAAGAUGGCAAGAACCCGUAGCGGAAACGUGAAUGCAAAUGGGAACCGAAACCAACCCCCAGUGAUUGAGCAAAUACCGGUUGUAGUAGCCGCUGCUGAGCCAAUAACAAUGGCCGGAGUACAAGCGAUGAUCCAGGCGAUGUUGGAUCGUCAAAUGGAGGAAACCAGGCGUUUGCUCUAGCAAAAUCGAGAGGAAGCGACCAUUCAGAUCGAACAGUCCGAGUUGAACGAAGGGCAGACUGAGGAAGGAAACUACAGUGGGACUGUUGGUCAAGUCAACCCACCAAUAGUUCGACAAAACAACCAAGAUGACGAAGUCGAGAGGAAUGGAUGCAAGUACAAGGAUUUUCUGACUUGCAAGCCAUCGACCUUCACUGGAAAGGAGGAUCCGAUCGGGGUCAUGGAUUGGAUAUCGGAGAUGGAAUUAGCUUUCAUGACGUGCGGUUGCAAGGGAAAACAACAGACCACAUUUGCAGUGCGUCAGUUUCGAGGAGGCGUUGUACGUUGGUGGAAUACCUUGGGGAAGACUCUGAGCCCCAAUGAGCCCCUGCAACUGACAUGGGCAGAAUUUCUGGUGCAAUUCAAACGAAAGUACUGCUCAGCCCAAAACCUGCUCGAGCUAGAGAACCAGUUUCUAACCCUGAAGAAAGGAAGCAUGUCUGUUGAUGAAUACACCAACAACUUCACAGAGAAGAUGGAGUUCGCCUUACGUCUUGUUCCGGAUGAGCUGACGAAAGUUGACAAGUAUGCAAAAGGACUCACAUGGGAGUACGCGGUGCCAGUGCGUCAGGCACCUACCUUGGAAGCAGCUAUCUAGGCUGCCAAGUCGGUUGAGGAUAUGAUCAAGGGAAGAGCCGCCAACGAGACCGAGGUUGGCAAAAAGAGGAAGUUUGAAGGGUCUGCAAAGCUCGAUGAGAGAAGCAAGGCCAGUACUAGGAAGUUUAAAGGAGGGAACGAAGAAAGAUGGUGCGAGAANNNNNNNNNNNNNNNNNNNNNNNNNNNNNNNNNNNNNNNNNNNNNNNNNNNNNNNNNNNNNNNNNNNNNNNNNNNNNNNNNNNNNNNNNNNNNNNNNNNNAGUUUAACUCUAAGAGACCUAAGUCUAAGUGUUGCAACGUACGAUAAUAGGUCAUUAGAAUAUGACACAUCGAUCCUUAGUGGUAAUAAAAGAAAUCAUCUCAAGUUCGUAUCCAAUAAGGAUCGAGAUUGUGACUUGAAGGUCAUAAUUGGGAGUCUAGCUUGAGGUGGAGAGCAGGUGCACGAUCAGGUACUACUUACAGUCAAUGAGUCUAAAAGGUAGACUUGAAGGAAUAUAGAAGUGAUAAUUAAUACCUAGGAUGAAGAGAUGACGUAUGGAGUCAUUAUACGACCCUGUUUCGUUGAUGAUUCCGGGACGUAAUCAUCCUAAGGGGGAGAUAAUUGUAACGCCCGCAAAUCCGGGCUAGUUAAUUUAGAGGCAAUAGGGGUCGAAAACGACUUUUCGACAAAAGAUUAUUUAAAAUAAGUAAUCUUAACCAAGUUGUAGGAUAUGUCACAAGGUUUCCGUACAUAUAAAGAACGCCGAAGUCCGAGUUAUAACGAAGAAGUUAUGGCCCGUCGAAGUUUUACGGCAAAACGGCAUGGCACCGGGAAGCGUAAAUAGUGAAUUUACGAUAGAGCGAGAUUUAGAUUUAGCAAUCUAAACAAAAGUUGUAGAAUAUGUUAAACUAAGAGCGUCGAUAAAAAGAACGCCCAAAUCUGACUUCGUAUGAGGAAGUUAUGAUUUUUCUAAGAUUCGGCUUAGCAGUGCACGGCCCGAAACUCGAAUUUUAGUUCGAGCGGUUUUUGGCUUACGCGACCUAAAUGAGAGUUGAAAAUCUCAUUAGUAGGAACUCAACGGUAAAAAGAUGGACGAAAACGGAGUUCGUAUGAAGGAGUUACGAAUUCUUCGCGGUCAUUUAACAGUCUAAACGCCUCCUACUGUUAAAUUUGAGAUCGGUCGAGAAUUAGCCGACGGAGUCUAAAUGAUAGUUUUAGAUCUUGAUUUUACCUACGCGUGGAUAUAAAGAACGUCGAAAACGGAGCUCGUAUGCGAGAGUUAUGAUUUUUCUAAGUUCGAAGGCUGAUACGCGAUAGGGGUGACGUGGCACCACCAGAAUUGGACACGUGGCACCACCAGAAGGCCACCACAUGGACCAACUCGGCGAGUAGGUCCCCCUACUCGGCGAGUCCAUCAAAUUUUUGCAGUAUAAAUAGAGGUGUCGGGUCUAGCCUUCUCUUCACACCUCCCAAACUCACUUUCUCUCUCUAGCCUCCCUAACCCCCCUAAAAGCCUAGGUAAACCCCCUAGCACCCGAAGGAAUCCCCGAGGCUCCCGGAGUCCCGAUAAAAGAGCCUUUCGGCUCGAGAACGCUGCUACAGCGAAGCCCGGUUUUCGAGAAAACCGGCUGUAAGUGAGCUACGCCUAACCUAUCUUUAGUAUAGCUUAUGUUUUAAUAUAGUAACAUUAUUAGGAACUUAUAAUGAGUAUUUGGGGUAUUAUUAUGAGUUAUAUUGAGUGUUAUUUAAUGCUUAUAUAAUAAUAAUAAUAGUCAGACUAUUAAAUUGUCGCGGUUAUCGUUAGACUAAACCCUAGUGGUAUUGAUACUAGGUUUUAUCGAAGGAAAUUGUUUUGAGAGUAUCGAAGCGCUGUUCGAGUGCUGAGUCACCACCUACUCAGGUGAGUGCAUAGUCCCUUUCAUCUUACACAUAGAUAUGAAGUAUUUUAUAUAAACUACGUGCUAUGUGUGCAUAUUAUCUGAAUACUUGUUGUCUAUGCUGGAUGAACGUUUUAUACAUGUUUUCAAUGAUUUAAACUGUAUAUGUAUUUUAUAUCUACAAAAUGUGUUGGGUAAAACAUGGGUAGAUGUAAUAGUUGCUGUGUGACAAAAUAAAAUAAUGAGAGGCCUCGUUAUAGCUGUUCUUGAUGAUCUAGUCAUCUAGCGGAGUAUAGAUGACGACCACAGACUAUUCUAGACAGUCCAGUGGAACACUAGCAGGCUCGCAACCUGUAGGUGUUUAUUCGAACUGUGUGUUUAUUCGAACUGUGUGAACUGUGUGCUCACCAGAUAUACUCCAUCCCAAUGAUAGUCGUUUGACUAGGUCCCUUGUGUUAGAUGUUUUAGGGACGUAAUGUGAGGAUAACGGGAAUGGGUAAUUGGGUUGAUUGUUUGAUGUUUAAAAAUAAUAAAUAUAUUAUUGUGGGUUGAAAACCCUAUGUGCUCACCAGGUUUCCCAACCUGACCCACUCACUUUAUUUAUAUCACAGGUGUUGAUAUGAAGUGACAUUACACUGAGAGAUUUAAAGAGAUGUAGACCACUAGUGUGAAUAAUUGUAAGUUCUGUUUAUACUUAUGUUCCUGUAUUAACGAUGACAUCCCAAACGUUUUAAAAUGAAAUAAAUAUGUUUCUUCGAAAAUGUUUUAAUAACGUAUUUACCAUGUUUUUCUGGGAACAAAUUCCGCAACAUUUUUAUGAAAUGAAGUACUCUGAUUUUUAUAAAGCAUAAACAAAAUCGAUCUUUUCUGGCCGUGAAAAUGGGGAUGUCACAG